GGGCCACUCCUGGUUUCGACGGGGGUGACAAAGUUAUAUAAGCAUGCAGAGUUUGUAGAGACCUCUUAAAAAAUCUUCAAAAAAUAGUUGCUAACUACAACGAACCCGUGGCUCUCGCUGCCUAAUCGCAGCCGCUACACCAACCUUUAAGGUUGUUAACCCCUUUGACAGUGUCUUGACAUCAACUAACGUCUAAGGGUUCAAAUUAAUUGAUGUUAUCUACCGAUGUGCAAUGGCGAGGGCAAAUUCGGAGAUUAUAAUAAUGCCAUAGCGGCCUGUACGGAUGAGCCAACAGACGAGCAGGAGUUAUUCAAAUAGUAAAAAUGGAUAAGCAUGUAGAAAAUAUAAUGGCGUACUUUCGGAAAUGGGUUCAACUCCCAUGUGGUCCACCA
rnacentral:tmRNA from 1 species